CAGCAGCCGCGGUAAUACGAAGGGCGCAAGCGUUAUCCGGAAUUAUUGGGCGUAAAGAGCUCGUAGGCGGUUUGUCGCGUCUGCCGGGAAAGUCCGGGGCUCAACCCCGGAUCUGCGGUGGGUACGGGCAGACUAGAGUGAUGUAGGGGAGACUGGAAUUCCUGGUGUAGCGGUGAAAUGCGCAGAUAUCAGGAGGAACACCGAUGGCGAAGGCAGGUCUCUGGGCAUUAACUGACGCUGAGGAGCGAAAGCAUGGGGAGCGAACAGGAUUAGAUACCCCGGUAGUCCCUGUCUCUUAUAA
rnacentral:rRNA from 1 species